UAGGGGUUUGCACAGUUACUUACCAUACUUUCCAUAAUAGAAUCUCUUACCAUUGAUCUGUUGUGAAAACUUUUGGAAUGGUGUUGAUUUAUCUCAAACUCCAGGAAUUAAAGAAGAGCUACCAAAGAAGCCCGGAAAGGGAACUAUUUUUAUGACCAACAUAGUUCUUGGACACCAUGAAUGGAUGUAGGUUUUUAGAUCAGCAAUGUAUGACUCAAUGUGCGACUUCGGCUUCAUGAAAAAACCCACUAGAGUUUAUUAUGGCCAUGAGGUAAAUCUAUAUUUUUAUUAUAUAUAUAUAUAUAUAUAUAUAUAUAUGAGACCUUUUUUUGUAAAUUAUCUAUUAGAGAGACUUUCUCAUGGUUUACAUGAUAUUAGUAACAAGAAUUACAUCAAAAUGCAGUUCAAUAGAAAAAAUCAUGCCAAUAUUGACAUGGGAUGGUCUGAGUCUUGAUGCAAUAGCUUCCCAUGCAACAAAAGGGUUGAGGCCACAUAUAAAGGGUAUGUUUUGUAUGUAACUAAAUGAAUUAUUAAUUUUUAUGAGUGUUGGAGGUUCGUAUCAUAAAAAGUUUUCCACUGCUUUUUUUUUUUACAAUUUAAAUUCUAUUUUCUAAUAGUUAGAUGGGCAUGAUAGAUAUGGAAUAUGCAGUUCUAGCUAAUGAAGAAACUGA
rnacentral:lncRNA from 1 species